ACAUAAGUAACGAUAAAGCGGGUGAAAAGCCCGCUCGCCGGAAGACCAAGGGUUCCUGUCCAACGUUAAUCGGGGCAGGGUGAGUCGACCCCUAAGGCGAGGCCGAAAGGCGUAGUCGAUGGGAAACAGGUUAAUAUUCCUGUACUUGGUGUUACUGCGAAGGGGGGACGGAGAAGGCUAUGUUGGCCGGGCGACGGUUGUCCCGGUUUAAGCGUGUAGGCUGGUUUUCCAGGCAAAUCCGGAAAAUCAAGGCUGAGGCGUGAUGACGAGGCACUACGGUGCUGAAGCAACAAAUGCCCUGCUUCCAGGAAAAGCCUCUAAGCAUCAGGUAACAUCAAAUCGUACCCCAAACCGACACAGGUGGUCAGGUAGAGAAUACCAAGGCGCUUGA
rnacentral:rRNA from 1 species